GCUUAGAGUUUGAUCCUGGCUCAGAUUGAACGCUGGCGGCAUGCUUUACACAUGCAAGUCGAACGGUAACAGGUCUUCGGAUGCUGACGAGUGGCGAACGGGUGAGUAAUACAUCGGAACGUGCCUAGUAGUGGGGGAUAACUACUCGAAAGAGUAGCUAAUACCGCAUGAGAUCUACGGAUGAAAGCAGGGGACCUUCGGGCCUUGUGCUACUAGAGCGGCUGAUGGCAGAUUAGGUAGUUGGUGGGGUAAAGGCUUACCAAGCCUGCGAUCUGUAGCUGGUCUGAGAGGACGACCAGCCACGCUGGGACUGAGACACGGCCCAGACUCCUACGGGAGGCAGCAGUGGGGAAUUUUGGACAAUGGGCGAAAGCCUGAUCCAGCAAUGCCGCGUGCAGGAUGAAGGCCCUCGGGUUGUAAACUGCUUUUGUACGGAACGAAAAGCCUGGGGCUAAUAUCCCCGGGUCAUGACGGUACCGUAAGAAUAAGCACCGGCUAACUACGUGCCAGCAGCCGCGGUAAUACGUAGGGUGCAAGCGUUAAUCGGAAUUACUGGGCGUAAAGCGUGCGCAGGCGGUUUUGUAAGACAGUGGUGAAAUCCCCGGGCUCAACCUGGGAACUGCCGUUGUGACUGC
rnacentral:rRNA from 1 species